rnacentral:rRNA from 1 species
ACGGGUGCGUAACGCGUGGGAAUCUGCCCCUUGGUUCGGAAUAACAGUUGGAAACGACUGCUAAUACCGGAUGAUGACGUAAGUCCAAAGAUUUAUCGCCGAGGGAUGAGCCCGCGUAGGAUUAGGUAGUUGGUGUGGUAAAGGCGCACCAAGCCGACGAUCCUUAGCUGGUCUGAGAGGAUGAUCAGCCACACUGGGACUGAGACACGGCCCAGACUCCUACGGGAGGCAGCAGUGGGGAAUAUUGGACAAUGGGCGAAAGCCUGAUCCAGCAAUGCCGCGUGAGUGAUGAAGGCCUUAGGGUUGUAAAGCUCUUUUACCCGGGAUGAUAAUGACAGUACCGGGAGAAUAAGCUCCGGCUAACUCCGUGCCAGCAGCCGCGGUAAUACGGAGGGAGCUAGCGUUAUUCGGAAUUACUGGGCGUAAAGCGCACGCAGGCGGUCUGUUAAGUCAGAUGUGAAAUCCCCGGGCUUAACCUGGGAACUGCAUUUGAAACUGGCAGGCUUGAGUCUCGUAGAGGGGGGUAGAAUUCCAGGUGUAGCGGUGAAAUGCGUAGA